GAAUCACCAAAAGCAGGGAAAAGUGGAAAAAGCUCAAAAGAAGGGCAAGACACAGUAGAAUCAGAGUGCUACUGUCUAAGCUGGAGCCACAGAGCUUGAAAUUACCACUGAAAAAUACUGAAAUUUUGGGCCCUUCACUCCUUCCUCAUAAGGAUACCAGAGGCAACAUGGCAUAUUAAGCAUGGCACUUGGCAGAUAACUGUGUAAACUAUUUUGCAGGAAUACAAAUUGAGGCACUUCAGUUCGUCUGAACUUUGAGUUGACCCUUCCUUUUUUGUUAUUGUUUUUCUCCCCCCUGAGUCUUCAGCUGGCUGCUUCUCUUCUAGUUCCACCCACUUACCAAAUAUGAUUGACUCACACAAGUGAAUUAAACCAUUAUUGCAUACUUUUUUCCUCUCCUGUCUCUCAGUAUUACUCUUAACUUGAAUAUUUUAACCUGAACAAUUUAAAUAGGUUUGCUAUUCCCAUGCUUCUUUUUAAGCCUUUUUAGUAUCAUGUCACCUCCCCCAUCAGCAUCUGUUCACAUUACCCUGAGAACUCACCUGUGGUAGGACGGUUACCAGGCUCGGGCUUCACAGCCUGGAGAAACGUGCAGAGCAGGUACCCAUCCAGGGCAGAGUAGCCAGGCGUGGGAAAUAAUCCCAACAGAGAAAACAUUCAAGAACUUUGCCUGUGUUGACUGAACACACUACUUCAAGUGUGUGAGAGGUCUUUAUGAUAAAAUCCUGGCUGGCUGUCAUCUAGCCCCACAGCAAACAAGGCAGCAAGUGGCAGAACACUUUUUGGUUAGAACAAGGAAACGUUUGAUGGCGUGGGAUUUUUAGUAAGGAAGAUGAAGUCCUGGAGUAAAUGAUAGAGUGGUAGAGUAGAAAAUAUUUUGAUCUGAGAAUUUGAAAAUAAAAAUGCUGAUUCUUGUUUUGCCAUAAAUGAUGUCACUUAAAUUGUUUGACCUUGUUUCCUCAUCUCUAAAAUGACUUGAUGAGAGUUUAAGAUUUGGCCAUUUUUAGCUUUACAGAACAGAUUAUGCACUACCCUUCUUGAUAGAAAUUUUCCCUGCAAGAUGUAUGGCAGGGUAUAUCUUUCAGUGUAACAAAGUACUGUUAUAACUGCUGCUGCGCAACUUUUGGCUUAUUCUAGAAAUUUCUACUCUUGAAUGACAUAUAUUAGUAUAUUUUUCUUUUGUUCUCUUUGAAAUAAAAUGUUUAAAUUUGUCUUGAUUAUCCACAUGUGUCCUGGAAAUAAAGGUCUCUGCCAAGUU